GACGAACCGUGCGAACGUUAUUCGGAAUUACUGGGCGUAAGGAGCUCGUAGGCGGUUUGUCGCGUCUGCUGUGAAAACUCGGGGCUUAACUCCGGGCCUGCAGUGGGUACGGGCAGACUAGAGUGCGGUAGGGGAGACUGGAAUUCCUGGUGUAGCGGUGAAAUGCGCAGAUAUCAGGAGGAACACCGGUGGCGAAGGCGGGUCUCUGGGCCGUAACUGACGCUGAGGAGCGAAAGCGUGGGGAGCGAACAGG
rnacentral:rRNA from 1 species